GCUGCGGCGUGCUAUACAUGCAGUCGAGCGGACAGAAGGGAGCUUGCUCCCGGAUGUUAGCGGCGGACGGGUGAGUAACACGUGGGUAACCUGCCUGUAAGACUGGGAUAACUCCGGGAAACCGGAGCUAAUACCGGAUAGUUCCUUGAACCGCAUGGUUCAAGGAUGAAAGACGGUUUCGGCUGUCACUUACAGAUGGACCCGCGGCGCAUUAGCUAGUUGGUGAGGUAACGGCUCACCAAGGCGACGAUGCGUAGCCGACCUGAGAGGGUGAUCGGCCACACUGGGACUGAGACACGGCCCAGACUCCUACGGGAGGCAGCAGUAGGGAAUCUUCCGCAAUGGACGAAAGUCUGACGGAGCAACGCCGCGUGAGUGAUGAAGGUUUUCGGAUCGUAAAGCUCUGUUGUUAGGGAAGAACAAGUGCAAGAGUAACUGCUUGCACCUUGACGGUACCUAACCAGAAAGCCACGGCUAACUACGUGCCAGCAGCCGCGGUAAUACGUAGGUGGCAAGCGUUGUCCGGAAUUAUUGGGCGUAAAGGGCUCGCAGGCGGUUUCUUAAGUCUGAUGUGAAAGCCCCCGGCUCAACCGGGGAGGGUCAUUGGAAACUGGGAAACUUGAGUGCAGAAGAGGAGAGUGGAAUUCCACGUGUAGCGGUGAAAUGCGUAGAGAUGUGGAGGAACACCAGUGGCGAAGGCGACUCUCUGGUCUGUAACUGACGCUGAGGAGCGAAAGCGUGGAGAGCGAACAGGAUUAGAUACCCUGGUAGUCCAACGCCGUAAACGAUGAGUGCUAAGUGUUAGGGGGGUUUCCCGCCCCUUAGUAGCUGCAGCUAACGCACUAAGCACUCCGCCUGGGGGAGUACGGUCGCAAGACUGAAACUCAAAGGAAUUCACGGGGGGCCCGCCACAAAGCGGU
rnacentral:rRNA from 1 species